GCCCCAAUGGUGUAAUUGGUAAACAUAGCAGUCUUAGACACUGUUUUUCUGGGUUCGAAUCCUAGUUGGGGUA
rnacentral:tRNA from 1 species